GAUGAACGCUGGCGGCGUGCCUAAUACAUGCAAGUCGAGCGAACAGACGAGGAGCUUGCUCCUCUGACGUUAGCGGCGGACGGGUGAGUAACACGUGGAUAACCUACCUAUAAGACUGGGAUAACUUCGGGAAACCGGAUCUAAUACCGGAUAAUAUAUUUAACCUCAUGGUUCAAUAGUUAAAUACGGUUUUGCUGUCUCUUAUAGAUGGUUCCGCGCCGCAUUAGCUAGUUGGUAAGGUAACGGCUUACCAAGGCAACGAUGCGUAGCCGACCUGAGAGGGUGAUCGGACACACUGGAACUGAGACACGGACCAGACUACUACGGGAGGAAGCAGUAGGGAAUAUUACGCAAUGGGCGAAAGCAUGACGGAGCAACGCCGAGUGAGUGAAGAGGGUGUUCGGAUCGUAAAACUCUGUUAUUAGGGAAGAAAAAAUGUGUAAGUAAAUAUGCACGUCUUGACGGUAACUAAUCAGAAAGCCACGGCUAACUACGUG
rnacentral:rRNA from 1 species